CUUAAAAUUUUUUUUUUAACAUUCGAUAACAUUGGAACGAUAUAGAGGAUGUUAGCAUGGCCUUUGCACAAGGAUGACACACACAAAUCAGAAAAUGGUCACAUUCUA
rfam:Gossypium hirsutum cultivar TM-1 chromosome 1, whole genome shotgun sequence